GAAACCGGAGCUAAUACCGGAUGAUAUUUUGAACCGCAUGGUUCAAAAGUGAAAGACGGUCUUGCUGUCACUUAUAGAUGGAUCCGCGCUGCAUUAGCUAGUUGGUAAGGUAACGGCUUACCAAGGCAACGAUGCAUAGCCGACCUGAGAGGGUGAUCGGCCACACUGGGACUGAGACACGGCCCAG
rnacentral:rRNA from 1 species